ensembl:lncRNA
ACUUCUAGAGGACUCUAUUAUUGACACAUCUAGAGGACUCUAUUAUUGACACAUCUAGAGGACUCUAUUAUCAACACGUCUAGAAGACUCUAUUAUUAACACUUCUAUAAGACUCUAUUAUUGACACGUCUAGAGGACUCUAUUAUUGACACAUCUAGAGGACUAUUAUUAACAUAUGUCUAGAGGACUCUAUUAUUAACACUUCUAGAGGACUCUAUUAUCAACACUUCUAGAGGACUCUACUAUUAACACUUCUAGAGGACUCUAUUAUCAACACAUCUAGAGGACUCUACUAUUAACACUUCUAGAGGACUCUAUUAUUACAACACAUCUAGAGGACUCUAUUAUCAACACUUCUAGAGGACUCUACUGUGAUGCCCUUUGGUACCCCCCAAACUCGCUGUGUCCAAAUCAACUCCUCUGAGUUUAACAGAGUUUAACUCACAUAUAAUGCUAGCAGUUCACGGGAGCAGACGUAGAGCAGACUUCUGGAGUGGGGAAAUAAUGAAUGCUUUUCACUGUGUAGAUACAUUGUGUCAAUUAAAACUGUCUAAUUGAA